UACGUAGGCAGCAAGCGUUGUUCGGAAUUACUGGGCGUAAAGAGUGUGUAGGCGGUGCUCUAAGUCUGUUGUGAAAUCUCCCGGCUUAACUGGGAGGGUGCGGCGGAGACUGGAGUGCUAGAGUGUGGGAGAGGUAAGCGGAAUUCCUGGUGUAGCGGUGAAAUGCGUAGAUAUCAGGAGGAACACCUGUGGUGUAGACAGCUUACUGGACCACGACUGACGCUGAGGCGCGAAAGCGUGGGGAGCAAACAGG
rnacentral:rRNA from 1 species